GAGAUCGGGAUAACACCUGGAAACAGAUGCUAAUACCGGAUAACAACAGAUGAUGCCUAUCAACUGUUUAAAAAGAAUGGUUCUUGCUAUCACUCUUGGAUGGACCUGCGGUGCAUUAGCUAGUUGGUAGGGUAACGGCCUACCAAGGCGAUGAUGCAUAGCCGAGUUGAGAGACUGAUCGGCCACAUUGGGACUGAGACACGGCCCAAACUCCUACGGGAGGCAGCAUC
rnacentral:rRNA from 1 species